rnacentral:rRNA from 1 species
GACGGUAACAGCCCGGUAGUUGAAAUGGCUUUCCCUCCAGAGUGGAUCCUGAGUACGGCGGAACACGUGAAAUUCCGUCGGAAUCCGGGAGGACCAUCUCCCAAGGCUAAAUACUCCCUAGUGACCGAUAGUGAACCAGUACCGUGAGGGAAAGGUGAAAAGCACCCCGGAAGGGGAGUGAAACAGUUCCUGAAACCGUGUGCCUACAAGUAGUUAGAGCCCGUUAAUGGGUGAUAGCGUGCCUUUUGUAGAAUGAACCGGCGAGUUACGAUUUGUUGCAAGGUUAAGCGGAAAAAGCGGAGCCGUAGCGAAAGCGAGUCUGAAUAGGGCGCAUAAGUAACAGGUCGUAGACCCGAAACCAGGUGAUCUACCCAUGUCCAGGAUGAAGGUAAGGUAAUACUUACUGGAGGUCCGAACCCACGCACGUUGAAAAGUGCGGGGAUGAGGUGUGGGUAGCGGAGAAAUUCCAAUCGAACUUGGAGAUAGCUGGUUCUCUCCGAAAUAGCUUUAGGGCUAGCCUCGAGGUAAAGAGUCAUGGAGGUAGAGCACUGUUUGGACUAGGGGCCCUUCUCGGGUUACCGAAUUCAGAUAAACUCCGAAUGCCAUGUACUUAUACUCGGGAGUCAGACUGCGAGUGAUAAGAUCCGUAGUCGAAAGGGAAACAGCCCAGACCACCAGUUAAGGUCCCCAAAUAUAUGUUAAGUGGAAAAGGAUGUGGGGUUGCUUAGACAACCAGGAUGUUGGCUUAGAAGCAGCCACCAUUGAAAGAGUGCGUAAUAGCUCACUGGUCGAGUGACCCCGCGCCGAAAAUGUACCGGGGCUAAACAUAUUACCGAAACUGUGGAUGAACCUCUUUAGAGGUUCGUGGUAGGAGAGCGUUCUAAGGGCGGUGAAGUCAGACCGGAAGGACUGGUGGAGCGCUUAGAAGUGAGAAUGCCGGUAUGAGUAGCGAAAGAAGGGUGAGAAUCCCUUCCACCGAAUAUCUAAGGUUUCCUGAGGAAGGCUCGUCCGCUCAGGGUUAGUCGGGACCUAAGCCGAGGCCGAUAGGCGUAGGCGAUGGACAACAGGUAGAGAUUCCUGUACCAGUGCUAAUUGUUUAACCGAUGGGGUGACACAGAAGGAUAGGGAAUCGCACGAAUGGAAAUGUGCGUCCAAGCAGUGAGUGUGAGAAGUAGGCAAAUCCGCUUCUCGCGAAGCAUGAGCUGUGAUGGGGAAGGAAAUUAAGUACGGAAGUUCCUGAUUUCACGCUGUCAAGAAAAGCCUCUAGGAAGAGUAGUACUGCCCGUACCGCAAACCGACACAGGUAGAUGAGGAGAGAAUCCUAAGGUGAGCGAGAGAACUCUCGUUAAGGAACUCGGCAAAAUGACCCCGUAACUUCGGGAGAAGGGGUGCUCUAUUAGGGUGCAAGCCCGAGAGAGCCGCAGUGAAUAGGCCCAGGCGACUGUUUAGCAAAAACACAGGUCUCUGCAAAACCGUAAGGUGACGUAUAGGGGCUGACGCCUGCCCGGUGCUGGAAGGUUAAGAGGAGUGCUUAGCUUCGGCGAAGGUACGAAUUGAAGCCCCAGUAAACGGCGGCCGUAACUAUAACGGUCCUAAGGUAGCGAAAUUCCUUGUCGGGUAAGUUCCGACCCGCACGAAAGGCGCAACGAUCUGGGCACUGUCUCAACGAGAGACUCGGUGAAAUUAUAGUACCUGUGAAGAUGCAGGUUACCCGCGACAGGACGGAAAGACCCCGUGGAGCUUUACUGCAACCUGAUAUGGAAUGUUUGUACCGCUUGUACAGGAUAGGUAGGAGCCGAAGAGACGUGUGCGCUAGCAUACGAGGAGGCAAUGGUGGGAUACUACCCUGGCUGUAUGACCAUUCUAACCCGCCACGCUUAGCGCGUGGGGAGACAGUGUCAGGUGGGCAGUUUGACUGGGGCGGUCGCCUCCUAAAGAGUAACGGAGGCGCCCAAAGGUUCCCUCAGAAUGGAUGGAAAUCAUUCGCAGAGUGUAAAGGCACAAGGGAGCUUGACUGCGAGACUGACAAGUCGAGCAGGGACGAAAGUCGGGCUUAGUGAUCCGGUGGUUCCGCAUGGAAGGGCCAUCGCUCAACGGAUAAAAGCUACCCCGGGGAUAACAGGCUUAUCUCCCCCAAGAGUCCACAUCGACGGGGAGGUUUGGCACCUCGAUGUCGGCUCGUCGCAUCCUGGGGCUGUAGUCGGUCCCAAGGGUUGGGCUGUUCGCCCAUUAAAGCGGCACGCGAGCUGGGUUCAGAACGUCGUGAGACAGUUCGGUCCCUAUCCGUCGCGGGCGCAGGAAAUUUGAGAGGAGCUGUCCUUAGUACGAGAGGACCGGGAUGGACACACCGCUGGUGUACCAGUUGUUCCGCCAGGAGCAUCGCUGGGUAGCUAUGUGUGGCAGGGAUAAACGCUGAAAGCAUCUAAGCGUGAAGCCCCCCUCAAGAUGAGAUUUCCCAUUUCUUCGGAAAGUAAGAUCCCUGAAAGAUGAUCAGGUAGAUAGGU